AGGAACUUAGGUUAAACCAACAAACCACCUGCCUUCAAAGCACGAAAUAUGUGCCACACAUAGUCCCU
rnacentral:tRNA from 1 species